rnacentral:lncRNA from 1 species
UAUUAGUAGGAGUGAGCUGGUAAGCUUCUGAAAGCACGGAGUCUUCCGUACUUUCAAGUCGUUUUCAAUGUUGGGACUUUCGAAUUGACGAUUGGCUCCGUUAAAUUUGAUCUAGAGUAUUUGAAAUACCUAGAAAAUAAAUUUUGUGAUUUUUCGCUAUCAUUUGCCUAGUAAUCGAAGGGGCUCAAAAUCAAUAAUUUUAAUGGCCAUGGUGAGCCGUUUGCAAGUUUAACGGUGUAGAAAUAUCCAAAUCACGUGAAAUUUUGAUAGAAAAUUUUUUAUACUAUAUAAAACAAGAUCAAUAUUUUUGAUCUAAAAUUUUAAUGUCAUAUUAUCAUAUUUUGUAAGAUUUUUAUUUUCAGCCGUUGAUUUUGAGCCACUUCGAUCACUAGGCAAAUGAUAUCAAAAAAUCGUAAAAGUUAUUUUCCAAAUACUUAAAAUACUCUAAAUCAAGUCUAAUGGAGCUGAUCGUCGAUUCAAAAUUUAUUUUCUAAAUACUUAAAAUACUCUAGAUCAAGUCUAACGAAACUGAUCGUCGAUUCAAAAGUCCCAAUAUCGAAAAUAAUUUAGAAAUAUAGAGUGCUCCAUGCUUCCAGAAGCAUAUCAGACGCACUCUAUUAGUAGUAC